UACAGAGGGGGCAAGCGUUAUUCGGAAUUAUUGGGCGUAAAGGGCGCGUAGGCGGCAUGGCAAGUGGAUGGUGAAAUCCCUCGGCUUAACCGAGGAACUGCGUCCGAUACUGAAAGGCUUGAAUCCGGGAGAGGGAUGUGGAAUUCCAGGUGUAGCGGUGAAAUGCGUAGAUAUCUGGAGGAACACCGGUGGCGAAGGCGGCAUCCUGGACCGGCAUUGACGCUGAGGCGCGAAAGCUAGGGGAGCAAACGGG
rnacentral:rRNA from 1 species